rnacentral:rRNA from 1 species
GACGAACGCUGGCGGCGUGCCUAAUACAUGCAAGUAGAACGCUGAAGCGAGGAGCUUGCUCUUCUUGGAUGAGUUGCGAACGGGUGAGUAACGCGUAGGUAACCUGCCUUGUAGCGGGGGAUAACUAUUGGAAACGAUAGCUAAUACCGCAUAACAAUGUAUGACACAUGUCAUUUAUUUGAAAGUGGCAAUUGCUCCACUACAAGAUGGACCUGCGUUGUAUUAGCUAGUAGGUGAGGUAAUGGCUCACCUAGGCGACGAUACAUAGCAGACCUGAGAGGGUGGUCAGCCACACUGGGAGUGAGACACGGCACAGACGCCUACGGGAGGCAGCAGUAGGGAAUCUUCGGCAAUGGGGGCAACCCUGACCGAGCAACGCCGCGUGAGUGAAGAAGGUUUUCGGGUCGUAAAGCUCUGUUGUAAGUCAAGAAAGGGUGUGAGAGUGGAAAGUUCACACUGUGACGGUAGCUGACCAGAAAGGGACGGCUAACUACGUG